CCUACGGGCGGCAGCAGUGGGGAAUAUUGCGCAAUGGGCGAAAGCCUGACGCAGCGACGCCGCGUGAGGGAUGAAGGUCUUCGGAUCGUAAACCUCUGUCAGCAGGGAAGAACGGUCACUGUGCUAAUCAGCAGUGAAUUGACGGUACCUGCAAAGGAAGCACCGGCUAACUCCGUGCCAGCAGCCGCGGUAAUACGGAGGGUGCGAGCGUUAAUCGGAAUUACUGGGCGUAAAGCGCUCGUAGGCGGUAUGUCAAGUCAAGGGUGAAAUCCCGGCGCUCAACGUGGGAACUGCCUUUGAAACUGGCAAACUGGAGUGUGUGAGAGGAUAGUGGAAUUCCAGGUGGAGGAGUGAAAGCCGUAGAUAUCUGGAGGAACAUCAGUGGCGAAGGCGACUAUCUGGCACAUAACUGACGCUGAGGAGCGAAAGCGUGGGUAGCAAACAGGAUUAGAUACCCUAGUAGUC
rnacentral:rRNA from 1 species